rfam:Nicotiana attenuata strain TT chromosome 8, whole genome shotgun sequence.
UGAACAGAUUACUGUAUUCGACUGUAUUCAUGGCGUGAAACAGGGGAUUACACUGUUUUAACGGAAAGUGUAUCAAUUAACAUAAUAGACUUCU